AUGGCUCAGGAUGAACGCUGGCGGCGUGCCUAAUACAUGCAAGUCGAACGAACUUCCGUUAAUUGAUUAUGACGUACUUGUACUGAUUGAGAUUUUAACACGAAGUGAGUGGCGAACGGGUGAGUAACACGUGGGUAACCUGCCCAGAAGUAGGGGAUAACACCUGGAAACAGAUGCUAAUACCGUAUAACAGAGAAAACCGCAUGGUUUUCUUUURAAAGAUGGCUCUGCUAUCACUUCUGGAUGGACCCGCGGCGUAUUAGCUAGUUGGUGAGGUAAAGGCUCACCAAGGCAGUGAUACGUAGCCGACCUGAGAGGGUAAUCGGCCACAUUGGGACUGAGACACGGCCCAGACUCCUACGGGAGGCAGCAGUAGGGAAUCUUCCACAAUGGACGCAAGUCUGAUGGAGCAACGCCGCGUGAGUGAAGAAGGGUUUCGGCUCGUAAAGCUCUGUUGUUAAAGAAGAACGUGGGUAAGAGUAACUGUUUACCCAGUGACGGUAUUUAACCAGAAAGCCACGGCUAACUACGUGCCAGCAGCCGCGGUAAUACGUAGGUGGCAAGCGUUAUCCGGAUUUAUUGGGCGUAAAGCGAGCGCAGGCGGUCUUUUAAGUCUAAUGUGAAAGCCUUCGGCUCAACCGAAGAAGUGCAUUGGAAACUGGGAGACUUGAGUGCAGAAGAGGACAGUGGAACUCCAUGUGUAGCGGUGAAAUGCGUAGAUAUAUGGAAGAACACCAGUGGCGAAGGCGGCUGUCUGGUCUGCAACUGACGCUGAGGCUCGAAAGC
rnacentral:rRNA from 1 species